UACAGAGGGUGCAAGCGUUGUUCGGAAUUAUUGGGCGUAAAGCGCGUGUAGGCGGCUUGGCAAGUCGGGUGUGAAAGCCCUCAGCUCAACUGAGGAAGUGCGCCCGAAACUGCUGAGCUCGAGUGCCGGAGAGGGUGGCGGAAUUCCCCAAGUAGAGGUGAAAUUCGUAGAUAUGGGGAGGAACACCGGUGGCGAAGGCGGCCACCUGGACGGUCACUGACGCUGAGACGCGAAAGCGUGGGUAGCAAACAGG
rnacentral:rRNA from 1 species